rnacentral:rRNA from 1 species
GAUGAACGCUGGCGGCGUGCCUAAUACAUGCAAGUCGAGCGAACGGACGAGAAGCUUGCUUCUCUGAUGUUAGCGGCGGACGGGUGAGUAACACGUGUAUAACCUACCUAUAAGACUGGUAUAACUUCGGGAAACCUGAGCUAAUACCGGAUAAUAUUUUUAACCUCAUGGUUCAAAAGUGUAUUACGGUCUUGCUGUCUCUUAUCGAUGUAUCCGCGCUGCAUUAGCUAGUUGUUAAGGUAACGGCUUACCAAGGCAACGAUGCAUAGCCGACCUGAGAGGGUGAACGGCCACACUGGAAGUGAGACACGGUCCAGACUCCUACGGGAGGCAGCAGUAGGGAAUCUUCCGCAAUGGGCGAAAGCAUGACGGAGCAAAGCCGCGUGAGUGAUGAAGGUCUUCGGAUCGUAAAACUCUGUUAUUAGGGAAGAAAAUAUGUGUAAGUAACAGUGCACAUAUUGACGGUACCUAAUCAGAAAGCCACGGCUAACUACGUG